rnacentral:misc_RNA from 1 species
GAUGAAGAACGUAGCGAAAUGCGAUAGGUAGUGUGAAUUGCAGAUGUAACGUGAAUCAUCGAAUCUUUGAACGCAAAUUGCGCCCGAAGCCGUUAGGCUGAGGGCACGCCUGCCUGGGUGUCACACAUCGUUGCCCCAAUGCCAAUCGCCUCACUUUGUAGGUAUUUGCUUGGGGUGAAUGUUGGCCUCCCGUGAGCUUUGUCUCACGGUUGGUUGAAAAUCGAGUGCAUGGUGUCGGGUGUACCAUGAUGGAUGGUGGUUGAGUGAUGAUGCUCGAGACCAAUCAUGGGUAACUCCACCAGAAUUGGGCUCGGUGACCCACAUGCGUCCCUUGGAUGCUCCCUAAGGAGACCUCAGGUCAGGCGGGGCUACCCGCUGAGUUUAAGCAUAUCAAUAAGCGGAGGA